ensembl:lncRNA
AUAGAGCAGUGCUGUGGUAUAGAGCAGUGCUGUGGUAUAGAGCAGUGCUAUGUGAUAGAGCAGUGCUGUGUGAUAGAGCAGUGCUGUGGUAUAGAGCAGUGCUGUGUGAUAGAGCAGUGCUGUGUGAUAGAGCAGUGCUGUGGUAUAGAGCAGUGCUGUGUGAUAGAGCAGUGCCGUGGUGUAGUGAUAGAGCAGUGCUGUGGUGUAGUGAUAGAGCAGUGCCGUGGUGUAGUGAUAGAGCAGUGCUGUGGUGUAGUGAUAGAGCAGUGCUAUGUGAUAGAGCAGUGCUAUGGUGUAGUGAUAGAGCAGUGCUAUGUGAUAGAGCAGUGCUAUGGUGUAGUGUCAGAGCAGUGCUAUGUGAUAGAGCAGUGCUAUGGUGUAGUGAUAGAGCAGUGCUGUGGUGUAGUGAUAGAGCAGUGCCGUGGUGUAGUGAUAGAGCAGUGCUGUGGUGUAGUGAUAGAGCAGUGCUAUGUGAUAGAGCAGUGCUAUGGUGUAGUGAUAGAGCAGUGCUGUUGUGUAGUGAUAGAGCAGUGCUAUGUGAUAGAGCAGUGCUAUGGUGUAGUGAUAGAGCAGUGCUGUGGUGUAGUGAUAGAGCAGUGCUGUGGUGUAGUGAUAGAGCAGUGCUAUGUGAUAGAGCAGUGCUAUGGUGUAGUGAUAGAGCAGUGCUGUUGUGUAGUGAUAGAGCAGUGCUAUGUGAUAGAGCAGUGCUAUGGUGUAGUGAUAGAGCAGUGCUGUGGUGUAGUGAUAGAGCAGUGCUGUGGUGUAGUGAUAGAGCAGUGCUAUGUGAUAGAGCAGUGCUGUGUACUAGAGCAGUGCUGUGGUAUAGAGCAUGUGCUAUGGUGUAGAGCAGUGCUGUGUGAUAGAGCAGUGCUGUGGUAUAGAGCAGUGCUGUGUGAUAGAGCAGUGCUAUGUGAUAGAGAAGUGCUGUGGUGUAGUGAUAGAGCAGUGCUAUGUGAUAGAGCAGUGCUAUGGUGUAGUGAUAGAGCAGUGCUGUGGUAUAGAGCAGUGCUGUGUGAUAGAGCAGUGCUGGGCUAUAGAGCAGUGCUGUGUGAUAGAGCAGUGCUGUGGUAUAGAGCAGUGCUAUGGUGUAGAGCAGUGCUGUGUGAUAGAGCAGUGCUGUGGUAUAGAGCAGUGCUGUGUGAUGGAGCAGUGCUGUGUGAUAGAGCAGUGCUGUGGUAUAGAGCAGUGCUGUGUGAUAGAGCAGUGCCGUGGUGUAGUGAUAGAGCAGUGCUGUGGUGUAGUGAUAGAGCAGUGCCGUGGUGUAGUGAUAGAGCAGUGCUGUGGUGUAGUGAUAGAGCAGUGCUAUGUGAUAGAGCAGUGCUAUGGUGUAGUGAUAGAGCAGUGCUGUUGUGUAGUGAUAGAGCAGUGCUAUGUGAUAGAGCAGUGCUAUGGUGUAGUGAUAGAGCAGUGCUAUGUGAUAGAGCAGUGCUAUGGUGUAGUGAUAGAGCAGUGCUGUGGUGUAGUGAUAGAGCAGUGCCGUGGUGUAGUGAUAGAGCAGUGCUGUGGUGUAGUGAUAGAGCAGUGCUAUGUGAUAGAGCAGUGCUAUGGUGUAGUGAUAGAGCAGUGCUGUUGUGUAGUGAUAGAGCAGUGCUAUGUGAUAGAGCAGUGCUGUGGUGUAGUGAUAGAGCAGUGCUGUGGUGUAGUGAUAGAGCAGUGCCGUGUGAUAGAGCAGUGCUGUGUAAUAGAGCAGUGCUGUGGUGUAGUGAUAGAGCAGUGCUGUGUAAUAGAGCAGUGCUGUGUGAUAGAGCAGUGCUGUGUGAUAGAGCAGUGCUGUAUGAUAGAGCAGUGCCGUGUGAUAGAGCAGUGCUGUGUAAUAGAGCAGUGCUGUGUGAUAGAGCAGUGCCGUGUGAUAGAGCAGUGCUGUGUAAUAGAGCAGUGCUGUGUGAUAGAGCAGUGCUGUGUAAUAGAGCAGUGCUGUGUGAUAGAGCAGUGCCGUGUGAUAGAGCAGUGCUGUGUAAUAGAGCAGUGCUGUGUGAUAG